UGGUCAUAUUUUGUGGGCCUUUUACCAGCUAGUGGUCAGGCUGUUGAAGAGAAUGUACUGAAAGUGCCAGAUGGCUAGAGGACUACACACAAUCGUAAACACUGCACAUGGAGCACUGAAGUGGAGAACCAGGCCUAAGGUGCCCGGUUAUAAACAAAAGUGGUAGAGCAGCCUCAGCAGUUGGCAUGAAAAGUGUUGACAAGAGAACAAAAGCAAAGUGAAACCUCAAAGCUGUCGUCUACUAACGACUGUGUAGGAGAGUAAGCUGGAAGAACUAUGCCCAGCAUGGGUACACUUUCAGAGCAGCACUAAUCAGUGUAAAAUGGCUGUAAAGGAUUAUGGGAUUUGAAUUAUGGGUAAAAACAAUGGAAGGUUUUUGGAUGUAGUAGGGUGGAAGGACUGGUGAGAGCAUGGACAAAUCCUGGAGUUUUAUUUUGGACUGGUGGGAUGGUGGCUGUUGGGUGUAUAUAAAAGAUAAAGUAUUGAAAAUAAUUCAGGAGAGAGAUGAUAUUUAAACUUAUAACCAGAAGACACUCUAGGGACAAAAAGAAAGACUGAUCUGAUUCCUGACUUCUGUCAGUACUAAAGGAAUGGUUAGAAUUGUACAAUAUCGGUUUUCCAAAGAAGAAAUAUACAGUAGUUAUAAUUUCCUGAGAGCAUACAGGAAAACAUAACAGACAAAAACAAUGUAAACCUUUCUUUUCCAUCCUUAGUUUCUUUGUAUGCACCCCAGCUAAUUAGAUACUAGGGGAUGACGGUUGCUUGUAAAUAUCUUAGAUUAUAUUAAUAUUUAGAUUGGUUCAGUAGAUAUCAGUGUUCAUUAUGGAUCCAAUCCUGAGAGGUUCUGAUCACCCUCCACUCCCAUUAAAAUAGAUCAUAAUCUUGUAGGAUCAGGUCCAUGAUCUGUGAAAUCAAAGGAAACAGACAUACCUGAACAAACCUCUUCAUAGGUGGGAUUUGGGGUACACCCUCCUGCAUAACCCACUUGAGUGGAGUAGACUCCUUUCUGUGUCCAAAACUUUCUCUCUGCUCCCCAGAAACAUCCCAUACC